rnacentral:lncRNA from 10 species
UCACUCCGUCGCCCAGGCUAGAGUGCAGCAGUGCAAUCUCGGCUCACUGCAACCUCCGCCUCCUGAGUUCAAGCGAUUCUCCUGCCUCAGUCUCUUGAGUAACUGGGAUUACAGAUGCCCGCCACCACGCCUGGCUAAUUUUUGUAUUUUUAGUAAAGAUGGGGUUUCACCACAUUGGCCAGGCUGGUCUCGAACUCCUGACCUCAGGUGAUCCACCCGCCUCAGCCUCCCAAAGUGCUGGGAUUAUAGGUGUGAGCCACCAUGCCCGGCCAACACCCCCAUUUUAAAGAUGAGGCAAUUGAGGCACAGAGCACUUCAGUGGAUUGCUGGGGUCCACUCUGCCAAUCCACACCCCUGCAGGUGAGCCAGGGUUAUGGCUGGGGUGUGUUUUGUUUUCUGUAUUUUUCAUGAGCUGCUUUCAUCAGCACACAUGCCCCAAAUGGCUGAUAAAGCCAGACUGGAUAGUUAGCAGGAAAUUGUAAUCAGCUCAGGGGUUUGUAUCUCAUGAGCAAUGGAAAAACAAAAACAAGCCAAAACUUCAGCCAGGGAUUAACUUCAGUUAAGGGAUUAACUUAACCCAGAAGAAGAACUUUCUGGUUGCAAUUGUUGUAAGCUCCUGGAAUACUGCUGGCUUUUCAGAGAUAGAAUAUGGGGUGAUUUGAGUCAAGGAAGUCACCCAGAUCCCACUAGUUUCUAGAGAAUCUUCUCCAGCUCCUGCCCUGGAGUCCCCUAACCUGAGAAGAAGUGUGAAAAGAGGGGAAGAUAACCAGAAGAAGUGCCACCAGAGUCAAAAUGUAAGUUUUUUAUUUUUGGCGACCACUUACUGAACACUUGAGUGGCAGGACUGGGCAAAGCUUUUUGCCCAUUUCAUUAUCUCGUUUAACUCUUGCAACACCUUCAUAAGGUUGGAACUCUCAUUAUCCCCUUUCAGACUGUAAACUGGGGCCCAGAGAGGUUAACUGUAUGUGUCACACAGCUGGUUAGUGGUGGGAACCAGGCCAUUGUCCUUUCCCAAACACCUUGCGCAGUUAUUGAGACCUCAGCAGGUGAGGAAUCCCCUAUGGCCAGAGUUUAUUAUCCCAGAGUGCAGAGGUUCCUGGGCCAAGUAUGGAGAGAGCACUGAGGGGCCAGACAGGAUUUUACAAAAGUACUUUUAAUGCAGUUAAAACCAACGCCACACACCCUUGCCUAAGCCCCUGGCUCUGGUGCCUCCAUGGAGCAGAAGGGAACCCCCGGGCCGUGGCUGCUGAGCUGGGCACCCUGCCCAUCUCUGCCCACAGAGCCAGUCACCUCCUCACUUCUUCUUGGUCUUCACCAGUCCUUUCUGCACAAGGCUGCGGUACAGUUCCUGGAUGUAUGUGUAGACGCACUUGGAGUCGGGCACAGCCAACCGCACCAUGUCAUCCACGUCCAGCAGCUGAGCACAGUCAGCCAGUUUCCUAAGGAAUGGGGUGGAAUGAGGAGCAGAAGGUCAAAGGUGAAGGAUAUGGGAGCCAAGGGGAUGGGUGCAGGCAGCCCAGCAAUGACGAAGCCCAUAGGAUGGGCUGGGAUGUUGGGGCUGGGAGAUCAUCUAAGCCAAUCAUCCCAUUAUAUAUCUAGAUGAGAUAACUGAGACCCCAACAGAGUUAAGACAAACCCAGGCCAGGUGCUGUGGCUUCCUUUAGGUAGGUCACAGGAUGUAGACAGGUAACCCCAAAGCCAACACCAGUGAAUAAUUCAAUAAUGAGUUUUAGGCCAGGCACAGUGGCUCACACCUAUAAUCCCAGCACUUUGGGAGGCCAAGGCGGGAGGAUCCCUUGAGCUCAGUAGUUCGAGACCAGCCUGGACAACCUAGUGAGACCUUUUCAGAGAAUGGGAGCUUCUCCAAAAAAUAAAAACAAAAAUUAAAAUAAAAAAAGACUCAAACCCAGCUGGGUCUGAUUCCAAGCCCACAUUUUCAUUGCACUUAUUGUCCUCACAUGGGCGCAGGACCCUCUGGUCUCUAGUUCUACAUUAACCCACCACUUCCACAUGCGUAUGUAUCUGUCCUCUGGAACCGGGGAGCUUCUGUUAGACCAGGCCCCUCAGGAAGAAUUUAAAGGGGCCAGGUGUGGUGGCUCAUGCCUGUAGUCCCAGCACUUUGGGAGGCUGAAGCAGCUGGAUCACCUGAGGUCAGGAGUUUGAGACCAGCCUGGCCAACAUGGUGAAAUUCCAUCUCUACUAAAAAUACAAAAAUUAGCUGGGCAUAGUGGCAGGCACCUGUAUUCCCAGUUACUCGGGAGGCUGAGGCAUGAGAAUCACUCGAACCCAGGAGGUGGAGGUUGCAGUGAGCUGAGAUCAUACCACUGCACUCCUGCCUGGGCAACAGAGUGAUACUCUGUCUCAAAAAAAAAAAAAAGAAAAAAAAAAGAUAAAGGACAGAAACCAAAUCCUAGCCAGAGUCCUGGCUUGCAGCUGCAGCAUCUCCAGGAGCAUCACUCAUUCAGUCUCUAUGUACUUAUCAGGAGCCUAUUAUGUGCCAGGCCCUCUUCCAGG